UCAUUUAACACUAGAACUACCGAUAAUUAACACGAAGCUAUUUCUACCAAUACCAGUGAAAAUGACUGGUCUUUAAAAAAUACUUUUCUCAAGCACCGAAGCCAUCGACAGCGUAUAGACAAUAGACUGGGACAAAGGCAGACCAUAGACAGUAGACAGGCGACGAUGGCUUCGGGGUUUUCAGUUAUAGGGUGACACUGCUAGCGCGCGGAUCUGGACCAGCUCAAAUUAUCUUCCUACUUGUACUUACACUUCUGUAUUAAAAUAUAUUUUCUACUUUACAAUUUGUCCACGCGUU
rnacentral:misc_RNA from 1 species